AGAGCGAACGCUGGCGGCAGGCCUAACACAUGCAAGUCGAGCGCCCCGCAAGGGGAGCGGCAGACGGGAGAGUAACACGUGGGAACGUACCCUUCAGUUCGGAACAACCCAGGGAAACUUGGGCUAAUACCGAAUACGUCCGUAAGGAGAAAGAUUUAUCGCUGAAGGAUCGGCCCGCGUCUGAUUAGCUAGUUGGUGAGGUAACGGCUCACCAAGGCUACGAUCAGUAGCUGGUCUGAGAGGAUGAUCAGCCUCACUGGGACUGAGACACGGCCCAAACUCCUACGGGAGGCAGCGGUGGGGAAUAUUGGACAAUGGGCGCAAGCCUGAUCCAGCCAUGCCGCGUGAGUGAUGAAGGCCCUAGGGUUGUAAAGCUCUUUGUGCGGGAAGAUAAUGACGGUACCGCAAGAAUAAGCCCCGGCUAACUUCGUGCCAGCAGCCGC
rnacentral:rRNA from 1 species